CCUACGGGGGGCAGCAGUGGGGAAUUUUGGACAAUGGGCGCAAGCCUGAUCCAGCAAUGCCGCGUGAGUGAAGAAGGCCUUCGGGUUGUAAAGCUCUUUCAGUUGAGAAGAAAAGAUUGUGACUAAUAAUUGCAAUUCAUGACGGUAUCAACAGAAGAAGCACCGGCUAACUACGUGCCAGCAGCCGCGGUAAUACGUAGGGUGCGAGCGUUAAUCGGAAUUACUGGGCGUAAAGGGUGCGCAGGCGGUUCUGUAAGUCAGAUGUGAAAUCCCCGGGCUUAACCUGGGAACUGCGUUUGAAACUACAGAGCUAGAGUGUGGCAGAGGGGGGUGGAAUUCCAUGUGUAGCAGUGAAAUGCGUAGAGAUAUGGAAGAACAUCGAUGGCGAAGGCAGCCCCCUGGGUCAACACUGACGCUCAUGCACGAAAGCGUGGGGAGCAAACAGGAUUAGAUACCCCAGUAGUC
rnacentral:rRNA from 1 species